rnacentral:lncRNA from 1 species
AAAGAAGUCUUCAGCCCAAGGGAAGAGAUUUUCAUGAAAGAUGGUCUCUUGUAUGUGUGGACAUAGCCAGAAAUGUGUGUCAAUAAUCCCAACGCUGAUAUGUGUACCCACUGGAACGAAUGGUUAGCAGAAAGCAGAGGACAUUGUCUCGCCGUUGGAGUAAGAGUCAAGUCCAGAAUUGUCUGUGCCUUACCCUUUGAAGAUGGAGAGGCUCCAAGCCUGAUGAGCAUUGAUGUACACAUAUCGAAAUGCCAGAUAUGUGUCACUUCAUCGGUGACCACACUCCUGUUUGUUGCGUUGCGUUGUUGCUGAGAUGGCCUGGAAGUAAUAGUUCAAUUGUGUUAGGCACUUUUCUCAUUACUUCUUUGAUUUGUCUCUCACCGUGAUGGCACGUCCGUGGUUUGCCUCCUAUGUAAUCCUAGAUUCUGUCAAUGGAGAUCAGCUGUCACACCAGUCAAAGAGCCUCCGAGUAGCCUGGAGUCCAGAUCUUGGUUUCUAGUGCCGUUCUCAAGUACGUGGAAAUGGGUUGGGGCUCCUUGGAUAAAUUUUGCUUGAAGAACAGGGCAGGAAAGACAGAGGAUAAGGCCUGGGUAUCUUGCAAUACCACAGAAGAAGUCGAGACAAAGCAAAGCAAACCAAAGCAAACCAAACCAAACAUGGAGUUUUGGCCAUUGGAUCUGUGGCACAACUUAAAAUUCUCUCAGUGCCCAACCUGAGUUCAUACACAAAGACUAAACCCCCAUGAUGAAGAAACUUAGGCGUGUUCUUUAUCCUCAAAGAGAGAAGCAUGACCCUGUCUUUCUCAUUAAGCUGUGAACAGCAAAUUCCUAAGAACACAGGGUUAAGUGGGACAAUAAAAGGAGCAGCUUCCGGUGGAGACACCUGGUAGAAGCCUCGGGUCAGGUGAACAAGGUACCCACUCUGACCGUGCUGCUUUGGAGUCUGGACAUGGGGCCUUCAAACGUUCCUCCAGGAUCCUCCAUAUGCAUUGAGGCAUCAUGAGGAUGCUGACCAACUCUGACGGUGCCGUAGAGUCCUACUAGAGUCACUGGUAGCAUCAUGGUGUUGCUGAUUCCUGCUGUCUCUAAUGCUGGAGUCGUUCCUACAAAUCAGAAACUGCUUCCAUAGCCCAGCAGUUUGGAACAGAAAUACUCCAAGUUCAUCUU